UACAGAGGGUGCAAGCGUUAUCCGGAUUCACUGGGUUUAAAGGGUGCGUAGGUGGGCAGGUAAGUCAGUGGUGAAAUCUCCGGGCUUAACCCGGAAACUGCCAUUGAUACUAUCUGUCUUGAAUACCGUGGAGGUGAGCGGAAUAUGUCAUGUAGCGGUGAAAUGCUUAGAUAUGACAUAGAACACCAAUUGCGAAGGCAGCUCACUACGCGAAUAUUGACACUGAGGCACGAAAGCGUGGGGAGCAAACAGG
rnacentral:rRNA from 1 species